UACGUAGGUGGCAAGCGUUGUCCGGAUUUAUUGGGUUUAAAGGGUGCGUAGGCGGUCAAGUAAGUCAGGGGUGAAAUCCUGGAGCUCAACUCCAGAACUGCCUUUGAUACUGAGGAUCUUGAGUACGGGAGAGGUGAGUGGAACUGCGAGUGUAGAGGUGAAAUUCGUAGAUAUUCGCAAGAACACCAGUGGCGAAGGCGGCUCACUGGCCCGUUACUGACGCUGAGGCACGAAAGCGUGGGGAGCAAACAGG
rnacentral:rRNA from 1 species